GGCCGCCGUGGGGGCGGGGCGGGGACCACCCGCACCUGUACGGCACCGGCACCGGCACCGGUCCUGGCUCUGGCAUCCAUGCACGGCGCGGAGGAGGCGGCAGCGGCGGCAGGGCCGCGGGUGAGCUCGGCGAGCACGCAGACUGACAGCAUGGCCGGUCAAAUGCCAAGACUUUCUAAGGUCAAUCUUUUUACUUUGUUCAGCCUGUGGAUGGAGCUCUUUCCCUCAUCUGAGCAACAGAAAAAAUCCCAGGUGAAGAAGAGUGGGCUCGUGGUGGUGAAAAACAUGAAGAUUAUUGGUCUUCAUUGUUCAAGUACUGACUUGCAUGCUGGCCAGAUCGCCCUCAUUAAACAUGGCUCAAGACUUAAAAACUGUGACCUUUAUUUUUCCAGAAAGCCAUGUUCAACUUGUUUAAAAAUGAUUGUAAACGCUGGGGUGAACAGGAUUUCUUACUGGCCUGCAGAUCCUGAAAUCAGCUUGCAGAACGAGGCGUCCAAUCCCAUGACUACUGAUGAUGCAAAGCUAGAUGCCAAAGCAGUAGAAAGACUGAAGUCGAAUAGUCGUGCUCGUGUAUGUGUGUUGCUUCAGCCCUUGGUAUGCUACAUGGUGCAAUUUGUGGAAGAAACUUCCACCAAGUUUGAUUUUAUUCAAAAAAUAGCAAAAACUCAGCCAGACUCAAAUACUGACUUUUAUACUGCAUGUAGACAAGAGAGAAUAAAAGAGUAUGAAAGCUUAUUCCUAAUUUCAAAUGAGGAAACACACAAGCAAAUACUGAUGACAAUAGGACUGGAGAACCUCUGUGAAAAUCCAUACUUUAGCAACCUUAGGCAAAAUAUGAAAGAUCUUGUCUUGGUCUUGGCAACAGUGGCUGCCAGUGUGCCUGCCUUUGAAUACUUUGGAUUUUACAACAGUGAACCGUGGAGAUCAAAUGAAACAGACCAUCAGGGUUUGCCCCAAGAAAUUGCAAGGCACUGUAUGAUACAAGCCAGGCUACUUGAAUAUCGAACAGAGGAUCAUAAAACAGGAGUUGGAGCUAUUAUCUGGGCAGAAGAAAAGUCAAGAAGCUGUGAUGGAACAGGAGCAAUGUAUUUUGUAGGCUGUGGUUACAAUGCCUUUCCUGUUGGAUCUGAAUAUGCUGAUUUUCCACACAUGGAUGAUAAGCAAAAGGACCGGGAAAUCAGAAAGUUCAGAUACAUCAUCCACGCAGAGCAGAAUGCCUUGACAUUCAGGUGCCGAGAAAUAAAGCCCGAUGAGAGAAGCAUGAUCUUUGUCACAAAAUGUCCAUGUGAUGAAUGUGUUCCCUUAAUCAAGGGGGCUGGGAUCAAACAGAUCUAUGCAGGAGAUGUUGAUGCUGGAAAGAAGAAAGCAGACAUAUCCUAUAUGAAGUUUGGUGAACUUGAGGGUGUAAGCAAAUUUACAUGGCAAUUAAAUCCCUUGCAUGUUAAUGCCCUGGAAUUCCAUGACCCAACAUCCAGGGAAAAUGGGGUUCAGAAAACAAAAUCAUUAGAUGACCAGCAGCACCAAAACAAGAAACUGUGUUUGGGUCACUAUUGAAUGAUGAAGCACUUCUGCAGUCUUGCUUUGUACUUUUUAUGAUGCAGCCUGUUUGCACUUUCAACUAAGGAAGAGUUUUAUUUAUUGUUUGGAAAGUGAUUUUUAGCAUAAGUUUAUUUAUGGUGUCUUAAAAUGUUUUCCAGAAUUACCUGCAAGUCUUUUUUAAUUUGGAAGUUCCUAGGGGGAAACUGCUGCUUCUAUUUUCUGUGAAAGUAACUGGGUGGCAAAAUAGUGACAUCUUUUUUAAAAUACUGGAAGCUUAUUGCUGAUAGAUCAGAGUGAUAAGGAAAUGGUAUCUGGCUUGCUCUAUGGAUUGAGGGAAUGGGCUGACAGAAUGCAGAAGUAAUUCCCUUUCUGCAAGUACAAUUGUUAAGUGAACCUUCUAGAAAAUGGUGGAUAAAUAAUCACUAGCAACUAUUCCUGUCCCUGAAAGUGACUUUUGCUUCUCAGUCUGCUUGUAUCAAAGAGAUAAAGCCAUUGAGAUGCCUGCUGUUGCUGUGUGAGUGAUUUGGAGAUCAAGCUUGUCUCCCUUAGCUAACCUCUUCCAAUUGCCAUAGCAGCAGAGCUAUUUUGUUUUGUGAUACUUGCCACUGGUGCUCUGUGUGCUUCCUCAAGCACAGCCCAUCUGAGUUAACGUAGACAAAGGUUAGCUUUGGUUUUUCUCAGCCUAUGGAUGCAGGCCUAAGAGAAUUUGGCUGUGUGCAUCUUACUGGCACGUAGAUACUAUGUUACGGUAGCAACAGCUAGUGUUCAGCUUCUCUUACUCCUCACUAACAGGCUUCUAGGGCUACAGAAGCUAAUAAAGUGCCAGAUACCCUGUUGUUUCUCAGAUGGGAUGAUCUGUACCAGUGGGAUAGCCCAGAUCUUUUUGAGUGCAAAUCUAUUGGACAAUGAAACUGCAGUCUACCAUGGCUGCUAGUUUUGAGGGAGUGCUGGGUAGGUAACUGGAACAGUGAGUUGUACCCAGCAUCUUCUGACAGGUCACUCUGCUUACUCCUGUUGGCUUACUGCUUUGUACAUGACCUCUAGAUCUUUGUUGUAGCAGAUGUUCCAAGAUUUAUGGUCACUGCUCUGCUGAGCUUUCAAGUGCAAACACCUUAAACCUUUCUCUGCUGCAGCUGGUACAAUCUAUACAUGGCCUUGCCCCAGUUCUGUCAUGCAUCUUGUCUUUGCUGCCCUCCUUGAAGUCCUGGCAGGGGAAUUAACUCUUAAGAUGCUGCCGUAGGUUCUGUUUAGUUUAGAUUUUGGAAAAGGUUGGAAGCAGAUAGUAAGGCUGUGAUUGGAUAGCAUCCAAAGCAUCCUUAAUGUGGCAUUAGUUACAUGGAGUCUGUUCUCACUCAGUUUGGCUAUUGGUCCUGUAACUGAAGGUACAGUUCUUGAUGCUUGGAGAUGCAACAAGGAGCUGUGAUUUUUCCCAUGGUGCACACUGUAAUUUCGUUCUCGAAUUCCUGGGCUUUGGAACUGGGGAAGGCUCAUACUCUCCUACUGGCACAACAACUCACUCUUGCUGGAGCUGGAGAAGCUGCUGUUUCACUGAGCUUAGCCUGAAGGGCCGCUGGUUGAGUGCAGUACAUGCAGUUAGCAGCAGAAAUCUCAUCAGGCUACUAGCUGACUUGCUACACCACUGCUAAGCAGGGUGUGUACUUCACUUCCAGGCAGUGGAUGCAAAUCUGACCCUGCUUUGUCAGCCCUGGGAAGGACAGUGGAAUCCAUUUCUGUGCCACGCCACAGAAGAGUGCUGUUUCACAGUAGCUCAUGAAAAAAUGGCUGAGCUGACACUUCACCAGGUCUUGUAAUCUAGUGUGAGGGAGCCUAGGUCCUGAACUUAGGACCAGCAGCUCCACCUGAAGGAGCUCUAUGCUUCACCUGUCAGAUUGAGGCCAGAGCCUGGGGAUUAAGUUAUUGGUCUAGAUGCUGUGCAAUCAUCAGAAUGAGAGAUUUUUUUAACUCUCAUCAAGGCUUACAGAAUUUCACUCUUUGUAACUUCCAUAUGAAGUUAAAGUAAAAUGUUGGUGUUUCACAAACAAGAUUACAAUCUGCUUUUGAAUCAUAAAUAUUUUAUUUUUGGCAUAUUUUUCCUCCACAUCUUGUAAGCUUCUUGUGUUAGCCUAAUUGCUCUUGGCUUUUUUCUACAGAUCAGAAAGACACCCUUCAGAUCAGGAGCAAGAAGUCUGCCCCACUCCACCCGCCAAAACCUUGAUUCCAUAAUCCAUUGGCAAUGCUCUUCCACUUGAAGUAGAAGCAGGGGAAGAAACAGGGGCAGAUUUAAGGCCCCUUCAAGUUUUCUACUGGUCAGUCAUCCCAGCUGUUGCUGAGCUGCAUCGCCUCCCUCUGUUCUGCCUGAGGAAUUUGUGCUUCCUGCCAGCCUCAGGGAAGGAAGGGCCGGGAUCGCCUCCCUCAGCCCUACCAAGAGCAUUAAGGAACACAAGCUCUGUCUUCCUGGGAGGCUAAGCAAGUCCAGUCUCAGGAAGACUCAAUUACUUCGAGGUGGCAACAUCUACUUCAGGACUGAAUUCUUGGUCCUGAUGAGCUGCAAGGAACACAUCAUGUUACUAAAGAAACUAAUUCCCCUGUACGUUGAGCCGACCAACACAAAGUUUUGCUCCAAGACUACACAACACCCUAGCACCCUGCAGGAAAGAUGAUGGUCACAUACGGACUCCAGGAAAAUUGGAAAACACUCAGCAGAGUGUCCUACACCAGCUUGAACUCACUGGCUUCAUCCUCUGCAACAAAGCCAAGUCUUGGACCAGCUGCGCCAGAAACUGCAAAUCUUGCAGCCCAUCUAGGUCAAGAGAAAAGAUUAGGACAAGUUUCAACUGACUCCAGAUCUGUUUGCUGUAUGAAAUUAAAAGCCUGGCACUUUGAAGGCUUUUGCUGCAGGGCAGGUUCAGAAAAUGUUACCAAACCCAUAACCACCACAGAUGGCACUGAGACAGAAGUGCCAUACCCAAAGGUGAUUGGUUAGCAGUAAGAGGCUGAUGUGUUUGAAGACAUCCUCCAGUGACACUGAAUACCACCUGCACUGCUUGGUUCUGACCAGACUCAGCCGAAAACAAGACUUCAAGAAAUCACCCUCCCUUUUUUUUCAAAUGGGUCAGGUGUCCUUUCUAUUAAUGCCUUUUCAUGGCAUUCAUCAACCAAAGACAUGGCAGCAUAGCAGUAAUGAGGCAGUAUAAACACUGUGGCACAUGCUGUCUCUUUCUCAGGUUCAACAGAUCUGUCCACUUGCUAUCAAGGUCCUUCCUCUCUUGCUCCCUGUUUUUAUGUGCAUCCUCUGAACACUACAGGAGUUUGUGCAAAAAAAAAAGACUAAAUAUCUGAAGGCUCCAUUUCCUAGGUAUUCAAACACAUCCCUGCUUUUCUAGUUGAUUCCAGAAUGAGUAUUGCUCAUUAAAUCCAAGCACAGAUUGGCUUUACAUGGUUGAGACUUUUUAUGGCACACAAAGAAUUCUGCAAUGAAAUGUAAUUAAUUGUUCUUCAGCACAUCAAGGCCUGAACACAAGAACAACUUAUUUACUUCAGAUGUUGGAAGAGAAGAGGAUGGGUCACAAAGAAAGCUUUAGCCCACUUUUUCAUUGUGUUUUACCCUACUUAACCUCCCAACUGUUACAUUAAAUAUGCCAGUGCUGCAA